GACGUGUGCCUGGCGGGGCUGCGGCCAGUGAGUGCGGCCCAGGCCUGGAGCACGUGGGGAGAGGAGCUGACAUCCCAGAGAUGGGCUGCGAAGGAGCCAGAAGGACCCAGGAUGGUGACUAGGUUUCCUGAGCAGCUGGGUGGGUGGUGGCGUCUGUGGAGGAACAAAAUUUGAGGGGAGAACAGUGCUUCUCUUGGAGGCGUUUAAUUUGAGAAGCCUUUCAGACUCUCCCGUGGAGACAUGCAGGCAGCGGGCUGUGAGAGCCCAGCUCGAGGGUGGGGGAGCUCAGGCGCAGAGAAGCCGGGAGUCCUCAGCAGAGACAGGAAAUCUCUGUCUCCAUAACUCCAAGGACCUGGGGGAGGGUUGGGCCACUGUCCUGUCAUCAUGGGAUCUGACGGUUUGCAGUCGCGGUCCCUAUCCUAUGAUGGUGUGUAAGGCUGUUUCUUUUAUUUAGUUUGUUCAAGGAAAUUUUGAGCUAAUUAGCGGUAUGUACUAAAUGCUGAAAACAUCAAUAUCACUUCACCCAGUGGUUCUGCCUCUAGAAAUACAUGCUUUUAAACGUCCAAAAUGUGGAAAAAUAUAUAUUCAAGGUGAAUAUCAUCAAUACGUUAUUUACGAUAUGUAGAUUAAAAAAAAUCUCAGACCCAAAGCCAGCUUUAGUAUCGAACAGCAGGAUAUUUAAGCAAAUAUUACAUCGUUAAUAAAUGUUAUGAAAACUAGUUUUUUAAAAAAGAAAGAGAAAGAAAAUAUUGAACUAAAUGCUGUGUUCCACGCAGCAGACAGACUGGGGGCUCUUUGAGGGCAGGGAGUAUCUCCAGCAGAGAAGACAGAUCUCUCCAUCAGAAUUACGUCAGGAGUUCCACCAGGAAUUGAGGCCAACGUGACACCUUCUGUGACAGGGACAAAGAGGGCAGUGGGGACAUAGCAGGGGCACUGACCUGGUCUGGGGUGGACCGAGGGGGUUUCAGCCGCCCCCGGAGCAGAGCCGUCUGGGGAAGCGUACUUCAGAGGGAACGGGGUGGUGGAAGGGCCGGCAGGAGGUAUUGGAGUGAAAAUGAACAAAACUCUUUCUUGGAGCUGGUGGAGGCACUCAGGGAUUCCGUGUAAUGGUAAUGUUCAUGGGGGUUGAUGAUACUGGUUUCAUGGUUACUUGCUUGCACGCAGGGAGAUUUGUUAGUUAUUAGGAACUUCCAUUGCUCUGUGCUCAGUGUUAUUUUGGGGCAAGAAAUAGAAUGUGAAAUUGGCGGUGCAUGUGACCUCGGUUACACCUUGUGUGCGUUAUUUCAAAGAACCAGGGCACAGUUUUUUGCAUGAAAGGCGCUGUGUUGUUAUCAGAGGAAAACAGCUCUCUCAUUUCACCAGCGUUAGUGUUAACUUUAUAGAAUUUAAACACAGCAGUGGGUGUGUUCAUGUACAUUCACAGUAUCAGGACCCCAAAUUGGAUACGACUCUGUUAUAGAUUGAAUAGCAACACAUUAUUUUUUUUUCCUUGAGUAAUCUCAUAGAAUUUUAAGGAAGCUGUUUUUAGUUUUCCUGAGGUUAUUUUUCUAGAGUUUCCUAAAGUGUAUUCUUCCAAAGAGCUGACGCCUUGGUUGGGAUGCGGCUGUGAAGGCACCGCACCCUUGUUCGCAGAGGGAGAUGCACGAAGGUGUGCUGACAGCGGGCGACCACUCCGGCUAGAGGUGCGAGGGACCAGGACUGGGUUGUUGAUCAUCCCGGUGGGAGCUGUUCGUGGGACAAGUUCCCUGCAGCCCGCCUGUCUCCCCGCAGUCCUGGCUGAGCAAAACUGGCCCAGCAGGGAGGAACCCGGCUCAGGAUGACUCUGGGAGCACUUGGCGGGUCCCACCGCGUCUGAGCUGCAGUGGGACGGGUCCCGGGGAAGCUGGAGGGAAGGCAGCGGCCAGUGGCCCAGGUGGAAGUGUGUGGGCAACUGGGGAGCACCUGUUCUUCUCUCGGGCUGUUUCACGUCAGUGGGUGGGGGCAGCAGUCGGCCACGUAGGACUCCACUGGCGGAGUUGUCUCCCAGAUGUGCAGGCCUAUCCCUCUUUCUGGUCCAGGUCGGAAGUCCCCUCUUCCAAGAACUGCUUCCCUGUCCCUCCCAGGAAGUCAUCUCGCCCCUCCCGGGACCCCUGGUCCUCUAGCUGGUCUGUAAGUGCUGUGCCCCCCCCGCCCCCCACCCCCCGGCUCUGACCCUGAGGUCCGGGCUGGGGAGGGGUGCCCAGGCCACUUCGGAGCUCUCCUUCGGUGGAGAAGGAGUAGAUGGGGAUCCUCUUUGCUUUGUUUUCCUGCUCUUAUAAGGGGGUACGGCUUGUUUUGACACGUGUUCAUUUCUGAAAAGUCUGCGAAGUCUGUAGAUCGUGUGAGGUUAUUGUCACCAAUGGGAACUUUUUCUUUUCAGACAACGUGGAGGCAAGUGAUCUCAAGCAGUUUUUUGAGACCAACUAUUCUCAGAUCUAUUUCAUCUUCUAUGAAAAUUUUAUAACACUGGAAAAUAGUUUGAAAUUAAAAGGGAAUAAUAAGUCACAAAGGGAGGAGCUGGACUCCAUCCUCUUUCUUUUUGAAUAAAAAGCCAUUUCUCCAUGUUAUACACCAAGCAUAGAAUCCUAAGUCAAGAACACCCGUCUGUGUUUCGGAAAGUUGAAAAGCGUGGUUUGGUGCCAUUUUCUUCCUUGGAUGCGUCCCGUCCAAGGUAAGAUCUGUCCUGAAGCUGUAACUUUCUCAGAGCCUGCUGUACGGAAUUUUUAGAUUAAGUGGCAGGUGAGAUCAGAAGAUGAUCCCAGGAUGUAGGUGGAACACCAGGUCCCCCUGGAGGUGGAAGCAUGAGAGGAGAGGACUCGGAGUCCCUGCUGUGCCGAUCCCGGGGAGAGUGGCCCGGACGGAAGGAGGCGGAAAAUGUGCCGAGGACCCCGUGGCGCCCGGCUUCCAUCUCUGCGGGGCUGCCGCCAGCUGAUGAGAACAAAGCAGCAGAGACCGUGUCCCCGCGGCAGCACUUCCGCGUCUUGAUCUGAUGACAGUGUUCUCAUUAAUAACGUGAAGAUGACUGUGGCUGCCAGAGAAGUCCUGCCCUCACCCCCUCAGGCCCAGCUGCAGGGAGUGGGCUCAGCGGGCAGCCCCCAGCUGUCAAGGCCAUCUUCAGCUUCCCAGCCCCGGUCAUGCCCCUCCCAGCACGUCCCCAGCCAGUGACUGAGCAAGGCGGUGGCACAGGGCCUGGCCGUCUCAGGCUCGCGGGGCCCCCCUGAUGGGCCGUCUGUGCUCUGGAGCUCCUGCACGGCUUGCCAGCUCUGUGCGGUGGUCUGGGGCUCCCCGACAGACCCUGCCGCCUUGUUUCUCUUUUACAGACGCUGCUCCCCAGUAAACCGUUGGCCCUCCCAACUGCACGCAGAGCCUGUUUCCCAGAGAACCCAGCCUGCAACGAUUAUCAGUCAUUAUCAAACGUGCUGAGCUAGUCUCCGUAGUGAAUAUUUCAGGAAAGAGAAAGUGUGAGUUAAAGAAUCACAAAGCUUAACAGCACUAUUUACAACAGCCAAGACACAGAAGCAACCAGCAUCCAUCAACAGAUGAGUGGAUAAAGGAGAUGUGAUGUGAAUACACACAUUUACUGCAGCAUGGCUGACCUGGAGGGCACUGCGCUGAGUGAAAUGAGUCAGAGAAAGACAGACCCUGCGUGGUGUCGCUCGUAUGUGGGAUAGAAAUACGACAAACUGGCGGAAAAAACAAAACAAAACAAAAGAAGAAGCAGCCUCGCAGCUAUAGGGAGCAAACUCGUUGUUACCAGUGGGGAGAGGGAGUCGGGGGAAGGGUUAUUAUGGGGUCAUGUGAAAUCAAGUGCGCGAAACUUCUGAAAAUCGGAAAGUCCUAUAGAAUUUAAAGGACCGUUUGUUUAAAAAUAAAUAAAUGAAUAAAUAAAUUUUGAUUGGGACAGAAAAAGAAUCAUAAAACUUAGGCCUGAGCAGAAGCUUUCUCUCUUGAGUCUGGAGACUCCCACCCAUCCCAGCUGUGCUUUUUCAGGGCUCAGAGUUGCUCGUUUGGUUUGGCAGCGACCUGACUGCUGAGACCCUCGUCCACAUCCUCAGCUCCAGGCUCUGGUCCCCUUGGACCAGCCUCCUUGCCUGUGACAUUUUCCUGCAGCCUCUGGGUGGCGCUCUGGUUCCCACUGCCGCUUGCGCCUUCUGCACCUCGCCGGGCUCUUCCGGUUGACCUGCUGGUGGGACAGUGCUUGCACUGGUUCCUGUCACCAUAUGCUGUGGAGAGCUGACUUCUGUUUUCCACUUCUUCUGAUUUCCUUUUAACGUAAUGGAACUUGACAAAACACAAUCUAGUUUUCACAU